rnacentral:rRNA from 1 species
AGAGUUUGAUCCUGGCUCAGAUUGAACGCUGGCGGCAGGCCUAACACAUGCAAGUCGAACGGUAACAGGAAACAGCUUGCUGUUUCGCUGACGAGUUGCGGACGGGUGAGUAAUGUCUGGGAAACUGCCUGAUGGAGGGGGAUAACUGCUGGAAACGGUAGCUAAUACCGCAUAACGUCGCAAGACCAAAGAGGGGGACCUUCGGGCCUCUUGCCAUCGGAUGUGCCCAGAUGGGAUUAGCUAGUAGGUGGGGUAACGGCUCACCUAGGCGACGAUCCCUAGCUGGUCUGAGAGGAUGACCAGCCACACUGGAACUGAGACACGGUCCAGACUCCUACGGGAGGCAGCAGUGGGGAAUAUUGCACAAUGGGCGCAAGCCUGAUGCAGCCAUGCCGCGUGUAUGAAGAAGGCCUUCGGGUUGUAAAGUACUUUCAGCGGGGAUGAAGGGAGUAAAGUUA